AAAUUGAAGAGUUUGAUCAUGGCUCAGAUUGAACGCUGGCGGCAGGCCUAACACAUGCAAGUCGAACGGUAACAGGAAACAGCUUGCUGUUUCGCUGACGAGUGGCGGACGGGUGAGUAAUGUCUGGGAAACUGCCUGAUGGAGGGGGAUAACUACUGGAAACGGUAGCUAAUACCGCAUAACGUCGCAAGACCAAAGAGGGGGACCUUCGGGCCUCUUGCCAUCGGAUGUGCCCAGAUGGGAUUAGCUAGUAGGUGGGGUAACGGCUCACCUAGGCGACGAUCCCUAGCUGGUCUGAGAGGAUGACCAGCCACACUGGAACUGAGACACGGUCCAGACUCCUACGGGAGGCAGCAGUGGGGAAUAUUGCACAAUGGGCGCAAGCCUGAUGCAGCCAUGCCGCGUGUAUGAAGAAGGCCUUCGGGUUGUAAAGUACUUUCAGCGGGGAGGAAGGGAGUAAAGUUAAUACCUUUGCUCAUUGACGUUACCC
rnacentral:rRNA from 1 species